rnacentral:rRNA from 1 species
AUCAGUGUACAUAUCACUCUGCAGCAACCACUGAAGCUAAGCAGGUGUGAGCCUGGUCAGUACCUGGAUGGGAGACCUCCUGGGAAAAACUAAGGCUGCUGCUGGAA